rnacentral:rRNA from 2 species
GUGAGUCAUCGAAUCUUUGAACGCACCUUGCGCUCCUUGGUAUUCCGAGGAGCAUGCCUGUUUGAGUGUCAUUAAUAUAUCAAACCCUCUCUUGUUGAGUGAGUGGUUUUGGAUGUGGGGGUUGUUGGCCUAGUAAAAAAGGGUUCAGCAUCCUCUGAAAUACAUUAGCAGAACAAACCUGUUCAUUGGCGUGAUAACUAUCUAUGCUAUUGAACGUGUGGGGCAGUUCAGCUUUCUAAUGGUCCUUUGGGACAAAUAUUUAUCAUUUAUGUGACCUCAAAUCAGGUAGGACUACCCGCUGAACUUAAGCAUAUCAAUAAGCGGAGG